CUAUCGUUUCUAAAGUGGUUGCUAAGCUGUUGCUAGGCUGUUUCUAAUGUUUUCCAGGUGGUUGCUAAGGUGUUGCUAACUGGUUGCUAGGCAGUUGCUAUAAUUUCUAAAGUGGUUGCUAGGCAGUUGCUAACGUUUUCCAGCUGGUUGCUAAGGUGUUGCCUUUGGAUAAAUAAGGGAAGUGUCAAGAUUUUGGAUGAUAAACUUUAAAAAAAAAAACACCAAAUAUUGUUUAAUUUUGUGUUACACACAAUUCAUAUAAGUAGUUAUAUUUUAUUAAUUGUAAAGCUGAAAUAACAACUCGGUAAAGAUGUUAAGGUGGUAAAUUCAAAUGUAUUAUGCUUUUAGUUCUAUGAUGUGAUGACUACAUAAUGUCACCUGUUGGUGGCAGUAAAGUAGUAAGCGUACAGUCAAACCUUAAAAACAUAAUAAAGGAGAUAGUCCACUCAUUCCUUCUGAAGUGCACUUGAUUAGUUACUGAACUUUUAAUUUUACACCCACUGAAGCACUGAACUGUUUAACUGGAAGUCUUAAACCCUAUUACUUUGUUCCUCAUUGCCUUUCAUCUGAAAUAAAAAGAAAAUUGUGUGAAAGGUAUUUUACCUAUUUUAAGAAAACACAGGGCGUAGUGAGGAGGGACCACGUAGUGAUUUGAACUGACCCAAGGACGUGCCCCAGCAGCGCGCGCGCAGAGGAACGACAUUCCUUCGACUGAGGAACCAGAAAUCUGUGAUUUUACAACACUCGCUCAAAAAGGCUUUCACAUACAGUGCUGUUGACCUUGACUUAAUUGGGCAUUGUUUCUUGCCAGCAUCCCAGCUUUCCCCAAACCCCCGAAACGAUAACUCAUUGAACUCAUUGAACUCAUUGAACUCAUUGAA